UAGCUAGUUGGUGAGGUAAAGGCUUACCAAGGCGACGAUCUGUAGCGGGUCUGAGAGGAUGAUCCGCCACACUGGAACUGAGACACGGUCCAGACUCCUACGGGAGGCAGCAGUGGGGAAUUUUGGACAAUGGGGGCAACCCUGAUCCAGCCAUGCCGCGUGAGUGAAGAAGGCCUUCGGGUUGUAAAGCUCUUUCGGCCGGGAAGAAAUCGCAUGGGCCAAUACCCUGUGUGGAUGACGGUACCGGAAUAAGAAGCACCGGCUAACUACGUGCCAGCAGCCGCGGUAAUACGUAGGGUGCGAGCGUUAAUCGGAAUUACUGGGCGUAAAGCGUGCGCAGGCGGUUUUGUAAGACAGGCGUGAAAUCCCCGGGCUUAACCUGGGAACUGCGUUUGUGACUGCAAGGCUAGAGUACGGCAGAGGGGGGUGGAAUUCCACGUGUAGCAGUGAAAUGCGUAGAGAUGUGGAGGAACACCAAUGGCGAAGGCGGCCCCCUGGGUCGAUACUGACGCUCAUGCACGAAAGCGUGGGUAGCAAACAGGAUUAGAUACCCUGGUAGUCCACGCCCUAAACUAUGUCAACUAGGUGUUGGGUGGGUAAAACCAUUUAGUACCGUAGCUAACGCGUGAAGUUGACCGCCUGGGGAGUACGGCCGCAAGGUUAAAACUCAAAGGAAUUGACGGGGACCCGCACAAGCGGUGGAUGAUGUGGAUUAAUUCGAUGCAACGCGAAAAACCUUACCUACCCUUGACAUGCCAGGAACUUGCCAGAGAUGGCUUGGUGCCCGAAAGGGAGCCUGGACACAGGUGCUGCAUGGCUGUCGUCAGCUCGUGUCGUGAGAUGUUGGGUUAAGUCCCGCAACGAGCGCAACCCUUGUCGUUAAUUGCCAUCAUUUAGUUGGGCACUUUAACGAGACUGCCGGUGACAAACCGGAGGAAGGUGGGUAUGACGUCAAGUCCUCAUGGCCCUUAUGGGUAGGGCUUCACACGUCAUACAAUGGUCGGUACAAAGGGUUGCCAAGCCGCGAGGCGGAGCCAAUCCCAGAAAGCCGAUCGUAGUCCGGAUUGCAGGCUGCAACUCGCCUGCAUGAAGUCGGAAUCGCUAGUAAUCGUGGAUCAGCAUGUCACGGUGAAUACGUUCCCGGGUCUUGUACACACCGCCCGUCACACCAUGGGAGCGGGUUCCGCCAGAAGUAGGUAGCCUAACCGCAAGGGGGGCGCUUACCACGGCGGGGUUCGUGACUGGGGUGAAGUCGAAACAAGGUAGCCGUAAGGGAACCUGCGGCUG
rnacentral:rRNA from 1 species